rnacentral:snRNA from 1 species
GGAUGUGAGGGCGAUCUGGCUGUGACAUCUGUCACCCCAUUGAUUGCCAGGGUUGAUUCGGCUGAUCUGGCUGGCUAGGCAGGUGUUCCCUUCCUCCCUCAACGCUCCAUGUGUGUCCCUCCUGAAGCUGCAUGCUUGGUCAAAGAGGACGACCACCCCCAAUAGAGGAGGACCAUUCCUCGGUCAAGGGUAUACGAGUAGCUGUGUGCUCCCCUGCUAGAACCUCCAAACACGCUCUCAAGAACCCCUAAGAUCCCCAAAAGCUGAUCUCAAGGACUGAAAUAGAGGAAGCUAUAGACAACUCAAAAACCAAAUGAUCAAAAUGUGUGA